rnacentral:rRNA from 1 species
UACGUAGGGGGCAAGCGUUGUCCGGAUUUAUUGGGCGUAAAGAGCGUGUAGGCGGUUCGGUAGGUCCGUUGUGAAAACUCGAGGCUCAACCUCGAGACGCCGAUGGAAACCCCCGAACUAGAGUCCGGAAGAGGAGAAUGGAAUUCCUGGUGUAGCGGUGAAAUGCGCAGAUAUCAGGAGGAACACCGGCGGCGAAGGCGAGUCUCUGGACAUUUCCUGACGCUGAGGCACGAAAGCCAGGGGAGCAAACGGG